GAAGGCUGCAAGACCGACGGACUCACAACCCCGCUCCUGGCCUGGCUGUGCGCCGGGGCCGGCCCCGCCCACUUCCCUUGCCAGGGACGCCUGGAUUGAUGGGCUGAGUUGUGCAGUGCCACCACAGGAGACGGGGACAUACCAACCUGGAGCAGACCCAGUGGGAAGCUGAGGCCUGAGGACCGCACAGUCUAGAGGACAAGGACAGGCUGUUGCUGACCUUGGGUGCGCCUUGCCGUCUUCCCUCCUUAUUUCCUGGAAGAGAAGUCCCUUUCAGCACCCUGGACAGCGUCCCAGUUCCCGAGAUACCACUGAGGCCCAGGAAGGAAUAACUUGCAGGAGUCAGCAGCUACAAAAUAUUUCCCAGUUUUUUUUUUUUCCCCCCCGGUACCAGGAAUCGAACUCAAGA